rnacentral:lncRNA from 1 species
CAACGAUCCUUGCAGGUGCAAUGUUUCAAGAAAACUGAGUGCAGCGCUAUCACCAACCAGAGCAGAGGAAGGAUGUACCAUCAUAAUCCCAGCACAGCCAGAGAACUGCACCCCUACUCUCAGUGAGAAAGCACCUGACGUCCUUUCUGGAGAUAUUUAGGAUGCUGAUCUAAAAUCAAAAGCAUCAGAGACCAGACUAAGAAGCACUGCACUCAUCAGAAAGACAGAUGUCUGACUGCUUGGUCAAAUUCCUUUGGAGCAUCUACUUUUAUUCAGGAAGAACACCACCUAAUUUUUCCAAGUAAAAAUGCUGGGUUUCGUUUUCAGUCUUACUUUAACGAUAUACCACGGAGAGAUCAUUAGAUGCAGAAGAGAUCUUUCGUGCUGCCAUCCCAAAAGCUUUUCACAAUCACAAAGCCUCUCAC